AACUUUCAACAACGGAUCUCUUGGUUCCGGCAUCGAUGAAGAACGCAGCGAAAUGCGAUAAUUAAUGUGAAUUGCAGAAUUCCGUGAAUCAUCGAGUUUUUGAACGCACAUUGCGCCCCCUGGCAUUCCGGGGGGCAUGCCUGUCCGAGCGUCAUUU
rnacentral:rRNA from 1 species